AGCGAACGCUGGCGGCAGGCUUAACACAUGCAAGUCGAACGGUCCUUCGGGAUAGUGGCGGACGGGUGAGUAACACGUGGGAACGUACCCUUAGGUUCGGAACAACACAGGGAAACUUGUGCUAAUACCGGAUAAGCCCUUCGGGGGAAAGAUUAUCGCCUUUGGAGCGGCCCGCGCCUGAUUAGCUUGUUGGUGAGGUAAUGGCUCACCAAGGCUACGAUCAGUAGCUGGUCUGAGAGGAUGGCCAGCCACACUGGGACUGAGACACGGCCCAGACUCCUACGGGAGGCAGCAGUGGGGAAUCUUGCGCAAUGGGCGAAAGCCUGACGCAGCCAUGCCGCGUGGAUGAUGAAGGUCUUAGGAUUGUAAAAUCCUUUCACCGGGGACGAUAAUGACGGUACCCGGAGAAGAAGCCCCGGCUAACUUCGUGCCAGCAGCCGCCGUAA
rnacentral:rRNA from 1 species